rnacentral:rRNA from 1 species
CCUACGGGUGGCAGCAGUGGGGAAUAUUGGACAAGGGGGGGAACCCUGAUCCAGCCAUGCCGCGUGUGUGAAGAAGGCCCUCGGGUUGUAAAGCACUUUCAGUGAGGAAGAACGCCUGGUGGUUAAUACCCAUCAGGAAAGACAUCACUCACAGAAGAAGCACCGGCUAACUCCGUGCCAGCAGCCGCGGUAAUACGGAGGGUGCGAGCGUUAAUCGGAAUUACUGGGCGUAAAGCGCGCGUAGGUGGCUUGAUAAGCCGGUUGUGAAAGCCCCGGGCUCAACCUGGGAACGGCAUCCGGAACUGUCAAGCUAGAGUGCAGGAGAGGAAGGUAGAAUUCCCGGUGUAGCGGUGAAAUGCGUAGAGAUCGGGAGGAAUACCAGUGGCGAAGGCGGCCUUCUGGACUGACACUGACACUGAGGUGCGAAAGCGUGGGUAGCAAACAGGAUUAGAUACCCUGGUAGUC